GUGAUCACUUCGGCAGCACAUAUACUAAAAUUGGAAUGAUAACAGAGAUUAGCAUAGCCCCUGCAUGAGGAUGACAGGCAAAUUCUUGGUGUUCCAUAUUUAA